rnacentral:lncRNA from 1 species
CCUCUCGGGAGGUGACUGAGGGCGUGAAGGCAGCAGGCGGCCACACAGCUGAAAGAAACUCCCCGAAAGCCGGAACGAGCGCUUAAAAACCUGCACCAACUCGGAAGGGUAGCGGUACCCGGAGGUUUUGCGUAACUUUGCCCACUGCGCCCCCGCGUGCAAAGGCGUCCCCUCGCACUCACACCCUCACCCCACCCCACUCCCGCUCCGCUGCGGCCCGAGCCUGCCUUUGUAUUUCGGUGACAGCGAAAGAUGUGCUGAUCUGAACCAGUGGUGGUUGUGGGGGUGGUGUGUGUGUGUGUGUGGAGGGACUGUAAAUUGGGUGAAUUCCACCUCCUGACAGCCCCAGAUACGGAGAGAACUAGCACCGGGUUCUCCCCGAAGGCGUCCCCUCCUCUUCUCUCUGACCUUGGGUCUCCAGCUUUUUCACUAUUAUGGGUUGAAGAAGAUAAAGCACAAGCAGAUCGAUGUGUGUUUUUUACUGAAACCACAGCCUUUCCAAAUCGUAGCCCUCAACGAGCUUGGUGGGGUUGGAGAAAGGCAAGUUAUUUCGGGGAGCAAGAGCACCCCUCGGAAGGUUCGCACGCGGCCUGGCGGGCGCCUAGCCCGGCUCAGCGCGGCCGGGCGAAGUGGCUGGAUUAUGUAAG